ensembl:lncRNA
CUCCAAUCAGAUGAUGGAGAUAUAUAUCGUCAUCCUCCAAUCAGAUGAAGGAGAUAUAUAUGACGUCAUCCUCCAAUCAGAUGAUGGAGAUAUAUAUGAAGUCAUCCUCCAAUCAGAUGAUGGAGAUAUAUAUGACGUCAUCCUCCAAUCAGAUGAUGGAGAUAUAUAUGACGUCAUCCUCCAAUCAGAUGAUGGAGAUAUAUAUGACGUCAUCCUCCAAUCAGAUGAUGGAGAUAUAUAUGACGUCAUCCUCCAAUCAGAUGAUGGAGAUACGCGGAACUAUUCAACGCUGUCACGAAACACUUCGUCAAACAUUUGCCUUCGCUCUUAAAACCUGGUAUUUUUUUCUCCUUCCACUUUAUCUGUUCAGGUAUUUUUCCAUUUAGCUUUAGACAUUUUGUUCACAAGACUAACUACAGGCAGGAAAAAGGUUAGCGUGUUGGCUACAAAUCAUUCAUCUGGCAAGACAUUAGAAUAAUCAGAAGGCAUAGACAAAAGUACAUAACAAUCAUCGACCACAUUGUCCAUCUCUACAGAGCACAUUAUCCAUCUCUACAGAGCACAUUAUCCAUCUCUAUAGAACACAUUAUCCAUCUCUACAGAGCACAUUAUCCAUCUCUAUAGAACACAUUAUCCAUCUCUACAGAGCACAUUAUCCAUCUCUACAGAGCACAUUAUCCAUCUCUACAGAGCACAUUAUCCAUCUCUAUAGAACACAUUAUCCAUCUCUACAGAGCACAUUAUCCAUCUCUACAGAGCACAUUAUCCAUCUCUACAGAGCACAUUAUCCAUCUCUAUAGAGCACAUUAUCCAUCUCUACAGAGCACAUUAUCCAUCUCUAUAGAGCACAUUAUCCAUCUCUAUAGAGCACAUUAUCCAUCUCUACAGAGCACAUUAUCCAUCUCUAUAGAACACAUUAUCCAUCUCUACAGAGCACAUUAUCCAUCUCUAUAGAACACAUUAUCCAUCUCUACAGAACACAUUAUCCAGCUCUAUAGUAGCUGUGUCCAGCUGUCAUCUGUACAGCCGUUUCCAACACACCUAGUCUGUGUCCAAAUGGCACCCUAUUCUCUACGUAGUGCACUACUUUUGAAGAGGGCCAAUAGGGCUCUGGUCUAAAGUAGUGCACUAUGUAGGGAAUAUGGAGCCAUUUUGGAUGCUCCGCAACAACCCCAUGAUGGUAUUGAGGACAUUCACUACAGUAUCUAUUCUCUUCUGAUUCAAAACCAACCAACCAGCGUUCCAGUUUGCUUCAAACAAAGAAGAAGGGUGAACCACCCCACCCAACCCAGGCACAACCCAGGCUUAGGCACAACCCAGGCUCAGAUACAGCUGAUGUUCACAUACCCCAGCCAACCCAGGCUCAGGUACAACCCGGUCUCAGGUACAACCCGGUCUCAGGUACAACCCAGUCUCAGGUACAACCAGGUCUCAGGUACAACCCAGGCUCAGAUACAGCUGAUGUUCACAUACCCCAGACAACACAGUCUCAGGUACAACCCAGUCUCAGGUACAACCCAGUCUCAGGUACAACCCAGUCUCAGGUACAACCCAGUCUCAGGUACAACCCAGGCUCAGGUACAACCCAGUCUCAGGUACAACCCAGUCUCAGGUACAACCCAGGCUCAGGUACAACCCGGUCUCAGGUACAACCCGGUCUCAGGUACAACCCAGUCUCAGGUACAACCCGGUCUCAGGUACAACCCAGUCUCAGGUACAACCCAGUCUCAGGUACAACCCAGUCUCAGGUACAACCCAGGCUCAGACACAGCUGAUGUUCACAUAUUACCUUGUUUUUAUUUCCCCUGUUGUCUGUCCUCCUCAGAAGGAGAGAUUGAGUUUCACAGACAAAGUACCCAACCUCUGGUUCUGGUAUGGAAUCAGCUUCAUCGUCACAGUAACUACAACUGUUAUUAUUAUUAUGAUUAUAUACCAGUUUCACUCUAUGUUGUUAUUGGCCUAUGGCAAAUAGGCUGUUUGGUGUUUAGCCUCGGACAUGCGUCCUAAAAGGCACCCUAUUCCCUAUAUACAGUGCACUACUUUUGACCCGGGCCUGUAUAUAGUGUACUAGUGUCUGGGCCCUUGUAGUGCACUACAUAGGGAAUAGGGUGCCAUUUGGGACAUACCUUGGUUAUUGUACUGGGCACAAGAUACAGAAAGACAACGGUAUCUGGUGUAGUAGUUGUUGUUAGUGAAGCUGGCUGCCGUGGCUGGACAGGAGCACCCGGUGGAACAACAGCUAGCCCACCGUUGCUGUUCUCCUCUUGUUACCCUUGAUGUGGGUCGUGGCUUUGGGGUGGACGUAUUGGGGAGUCUUAAAUGUUUCCUCAGCUAGUCUCUACCUGGG